CCUACGGGAGGCAGCAGUGGGGAAUAUUGGACAAUGGGCGCAAGCCUGAUCCAGCCAUGCCGCGUGUGUGAAGAAGGCCUUCGGGUUGUAAAGCACUUUUGUGGAAACCUCGGUACCCAAAGAAUAAGCACCGGCUAACUUCGUGCCAGCAGCCGCGGUAAUACGAAGGGUGCAAGCGUUACUCGGAAUUACUGGGCGUAAAGCGUGCGUAGGCGGUUUGUUAAGUCUGAUGUGAAAGCCCUGGGCUCAACCUGGGAACUGCAGUGGAUACUGGCCAGCUAGAGUGUGUCAGAGGAUGGUGGAAUUUCCGGUGUAGCGGUGAAAUGCGUAGAGAUCGGGAGGAACACCAGUGGCGAAGGCGGCCAUCUGGGCCAAACUGACGCUGAGGCACGAAAGCGUGGGGAGCAAACAGGAUUAGAUACCCCAGUAGUC
rnacentral:rRNA from 1 species